rnacentral:lncRNA from 1 species
GCAGGUGGCCUGGGUGGGAACCUGGUGCUGUUGCUUGCCCGUCGUGUGAUCUUGGGACAGUGCCAUAACCUGUGAGCUGCCAUCUCCCUGGCAGUAAAAUGGCUCCUCGGGUCUCUUCCUCGCAGGGGUCCUGGGAGGUGAAGUGAGCCCCUCCACGGGAGGCCCUGGCACUCGCCCCACGUGCAGACCGCGCUCGAUACACAUCGCCCAUAGUCAUCAGGCCCCGGAACCGACCGCCACUCAUGCCUAUCUCAGCCAGGCUUGGGCGCUGUCCUCUGGUCACCAGCCCCUCGUUGAUUCCCCACCCACUGCCAUGCUGGGGCCUGGCCCCUUCAUCCUGGUGGAUGGGGGAGAGCGGACAGCAGGAGCAGCGAGCUCCAUUCAGGGCUGAGCAAGAAUGGCCUCCAGGAUCCCACAAGGAAAGGCGGGGCUGCGGUUUGAACCCAGAUCUCUCCAGACUGUUCCACUACAACCCAUGGCUGCCCAUGAGAACCACCUGGAAAGCUUUGGACAACACCGAAACCCAGUUCCCAACCCCAGACCGCAAGGCCGGCAGCUGUGCUGGAGCCCAGACCUGAAACUGGAAGGAAAGAUGAUCCUCCACAGACUUCUCAUCAAUCCUUUUGCCGGGGUUUAAUCCCCCUGCAAUUCCUCCUGAAUGAGUUUCCUGUACCUGACAUCACCAGUGACCACAAACUAAGUGGCUUAAAGCAACAGAAAUGUACCCUCUCAUCAUCUGGAGCAGAAGUCAAAAUUCAAGGCAUCAGCAGGACCCCCGCCCUCUGGAGCUUCCAGGGAAGGAUCUUCGUUGACUCCUCCGGCUUCAGGGGGCUCCAGGCGUCCCUUGGUUCUAACCGCUGCCUCUGUGGUCUUGUGGCCGCCUUCCCUGGGUCCUCAGAUCCCCCCCUUGCAUAUAAGGACACUUGUCGUGGGAUAUGGGGCCCACCCUAAAUCCAGGAUGGUCUCAUUCGAAGAUCCCUAACUGAAUGAAUUCUGUAAAGACCCCUUUUCCAAUCAAGGCCGCAUUUACAGAUUCCCGACACGUCACUGGGAAGCCACCAUUUGGUCCUCAACAUCCCGUCUCCUCCGCCCCCAGAUGCGACGGCGUCUCAGCAGCGACUUGGAGCCAUGCAGGGUUUCUGUUGUGGUUGUUCACUUGGGUAAGCUUCCUGCUCUUACCGACAGUGGAUGACACACUCCCCACUCCCACGCCACUUCAUGUUCCUUCGGGAGCGGAGGGGGUUGGAAGAAUAAAC